GUCGCUGUGGCUGGCUUUUUGUGUGCAGCGGAAUGUCGCUAAUCUGCCCGCCAUCGACAUGCAAAUGAGCGGAGCGGCCCUGCGUCAGAGGAUUCAGAGCCUGGGAAAUGGCUCCACCAAUCCCUGCAUCAGCCUGGACACAAGCGCAAAACUUCAACAACUCAAAACCACCAAAACACACAUGCACAAAACUAGAUUUGUGCAUGUUCUGAAGACGUGUGUGAGUGGUGGCGUCAUGAUAGCAGGGUGAUGUCAUGGAGUUGUCCUGAGAGGUUUCUGAGGUGUUCUUUUUUUUUUUUUUCUGCAGGACAAAAAUUGUAUGUGUGAUCAUUUAGAAAAGUACUAGCACAUCUCUCCUCAAAAAGCUGCAUAAAUGGAUUUGGUGUGUAUUAUGCCCCAAAAUGUAAUACUUAGGAUUGGGGAUUUGUUUCAAGAAUUCACAGUGAAUUCAGGGAUUCAUUAUACACAACACACAAGUGCUUCCCAAAAGCCCCUCUGGUCAUCUCAUUGUAUCUCCUUUUAUGAGGAUUUUCAAGAUUUUUAUGCUGCAAAAGUCAAUUCAUCUUGUAAAACGUGAAUUUUCAGAAUGAUAAAACUUAAUUGCAACAGCAAAUCAGGCCUCGUAUGACAUUCCACGAGAGCUUGUUUCAUCUCACCAGGCUCAUUGCGGGCUUGUGUUUUGGUUCACAGAUCCAAAAGAUGUUUGCAUGAUUUAAGCACACGUGUCUGUGGGAUUGGACUGUUUCUACGCAGAGCUCAGGGCUGGGAAUGCCGGCACGACUCCCACCGGCAUCUGGCUGGGCAGCUGGCCCUCAAUCUACAUUUUCUCAUACACAGUUUCAUAUCUUUCUGUCGGGAUCCCUGUUUUGGGGGGGAUAAAAAAUACUUAUUAAAAUACUUAGCAGUCGUAAUCACUUUUAUGUAUCCAUGUACUGUAUACAAAUGAGUAUUUUUGUUACUGUUGGAAAUUAGUUUUUCUUCAACUCACAUCUGUGACUGCACAUUUCAUAUUAAACUGUUCAUAUACCACAUUGCCUGUCAACUGUAAACAGCCUACAGUUUAAACUAAUGAAAUUACUUUAUUAUUUUGUGCAUCUUGCUAUCAUUUUAUUUAAAAGAACAGUUUAGCCCAAAAUUCUGUCAUCAGUUACUCCAUCAAUCAACCCAUAAGACCCAUAAUGUUUAUUAAAUCACUUGAUUCAUAUUCAUUUCUUGGUCACACUUUAUUUUAAGAUCCAAUUCUCGCUAUAAGCAACUAGUUAAUAAUGAGAACUGAUCCCUAUACUUAAAGGUGCUGUAUGUAAGAUUUUGACUAUACUAAAGCAUAAAAAUACCACAAUUUGUUUGCAGUUA
ensembl:lncRNA